rnacentral:rRNA from 1 species
UACGGGGGGAGCAAGCGUUGUUCGGAUUUACUGGGCGUAAAGGGCGCGUAGGCGGUCAGCACAAGUCAAUUGUGAAAUCUCCGAGCUUAACUCGGAAAGGUCAACUGAUACUGUGCGACUAGAGUGCAGAAGGGGCAACUGGAAUUCUUGGUGUAGCGGUGAAAUGCGUAGAUAUCAAGAGGAACACCUGCGGCGAAGGCGGCUUCCUGGACCGACACUGACGCUGAGGCGCGAAAGCUAGGGGAGCAAACGGG